rnacentral:rRNA from 1 species
CAGCAGCCGCGGGAAAACAGAGGGUGCAAGCGUUAAUCGGAAUUACUGGGCGUAAAGCGCGCGUAGGUGGUUUGUUAAGUUGGAUGUGAAAUCCCCGGGCUCAACCUGGGAACUGCAUCCAAAACUGGCAAGCUAGAGUAUGGUAGAGGGUGGUGGAAUUUCCUGUGUAGCGGUGAAAUGCGUAGAUAUAGGAAGGAACACCAGUGGCGAAGGCGACCACCUGGACUGAUACUGACACUGAGGUGCGAAAGCGUGGGGAGCAAACAGGAUUAGAUACCCGAGUAGUCCCUGUCUCUUAUAC